rnacentral:rRNA from 1 species
AGUGAACGCUGGCGGUAGGCCUAACACAUGCAAGUCGAACGGCAGCACAGUAAGAGCUUGCUCUUACGGGUGGCGAGUGGCGGACGGGUGAGGAAUACAUCGGAAUCUACUUUUUCGUGGGGGAUAACGUAGGGAAACUUACGCUACUACCGCAUACGACCUACGGGUGAAAGCAGGGGAUCUUCGGACCUUGCGCGAUUGAAUGAGCCGAUGUCGGAUUAGCUAGUUGGCGGGGUAAAGGCCCACCAAGGCGACGAUACGUAGCUGGUCUGAGAGGAUGAUCAGCCACACUGGAACUGAGACACGGUCCAGACUCCUACGGGAGGCAGCAGUGGGGAAUAUUGGACAAUGGGCGCAAGCCUGAUCCAGCCAUACCGCGUGGGUGAAGAAGGCCUUCGGGUUGUAAAGCCCUGUUGUUGGGAAAGAAAAGCAGCAGGUUAAUACCCCGCUGUUCUGACGGUACCCAAAGAAUAAGCACCGGCUAACUUCGUG